rnacentral:rRNA from 1 species
CCUACGGGAGGCAGCAGUGAGGAAUCUUGGUCAAUGGGCGUAAGCCUGAACCAGCCAAGCCGCGUGAGGGAUGAAGGUUCUAUGGAUCGUAAACCUCUUUUAUAAGGGAAUAAAGUGUGGGACGUGUCCUGUUUUGUCUGUACCUUAUGAAUAAGGAUCGGCUAACUCCGUGCCAGCAGACGCGGUACUACGGAGGAUCCGAGCGUUGUCCGGUUUUAUUGGGUUUAAAGGGUGCGUAGGCGGCCGUUUAAGUUAGCGGUGAAAGUCUGUGGCUCAACCCGAGAAUGGCCGUGGAAACUGGGAGGCGUGAGUAUGAUAGAGGCAGGCGGAAUGCGAGGUGUAGCGGUGAAAUGCUUAGAUAUCACGCAGAACCCCGAUGGCGAAGGCAGCCUGC